rnacentral:rRNA from 1 species
AUGCUUGUAGCGAAAAGACAGCGCCGGGAGGCAUGGCUUGAGGGCACGGCUGGAACCUCAAACACUGUAGCCGAGGAGGGAGCAUGGAAAACUCUGUGGAAGACCCAGUUUCCGGCAAAGGUUAGGAUGUUCCUCUGGCGCUUAUCAAGGCACUCUCUUCCCACGGAGGAUAUCAGGGCUCAUCGACACAUGGCUGAUAACGCUCAAUGCGGAUUAUGCGGCUCUCCUGACUCAUGGAGACAUUCUCUGGUAAACUGCACUAGCUCGAGAUGUGUGUGGGCGCUAGUUGAUGAGGAGCUAGCACAAAGCCUGGUGUCAAAUACGGAACCCAACGCCAAGCAGUGGCUCUUCACCUUCAUGCAGUCACUGGCUCAUGAUCAGUUUGUACUGCUUGCAGUCACACUCUGGGCGAUAUGGACUGCGCGGCGCAAGGCUAUUCAUGAAGGAAUUUUUCAAUCACCUCAAGCAACUAAUUCCUUUGUCAGGCGAUUCAUUGAUGAACUCAACAUGAUUACUGUGAGAAGCCCGACGAGGAAUACAAUGGGGCAACGGGCUGUUCGGCCCAAGGCUCCCCAUGCGGGUUUUGCUAAGAUCCACGUAGAUGCUGGAGUAAGAGCAAGGAAGGGUGGAUCAGCAGCGGCAGUUUGCAGGGAUGGGCAAGGUAACUACCUAGGCAGCUCCGCAUUGGUGGUAGCUGGCCUAGAGGACCCUGCAAUACUUGAGGCAGUUGCAUGUAGAGAGGCUUUGGCGCUGGCGGUAGAUCUUAAUCUUCAUAAUUUCGUCAUUGCAUCCGACUCCAAGCAAACUGUGGCUGAUAUUUCAUGUGGAGGCAAAGGAAGGAAUGGUUCUAUUAUCCAGGAGAUUAAUGUUAGAGCAACUUUAUUUCAGUGUAAUUUUUCUUUUGAAGGUUGUGCUGCUAAUGUCGAAGCACAUAAACUAGUCAAAUACUCACUUAGUCUCGGCCCGGGGCGCCACCUCUGGUUAGGCCAACCCCAUGAUCCGAGUUGUAUCCCACCCAUUGUGGUCUUUGAUAAAUAA